rnacentral:rRNA from 1 species
AGUGAACGCUGGCGGUAGGCCUAACACAUGCAAGUCGAACGGCAGCACAGUAAGAGCUUGCUCUUACGGGUGGCGAGUGGCGGACGGGUGAGGAAUACAUCGGAAUCUACUUUUUCGUGGGGGAUAACGUAGGGAAACUUACGCUAAUACCGCAUACGACCUACGGGUGAAAGCAGGGGAUCUUCGGACCUUGCGCGAUUGAAUGAGCCGAUGUCGGAUUAGCUAGUUGGCGGGGUAAAGGCCCACCAAGGCGACGAUCCGUAGCUGGUCUGAGAGGAUGAUCAGCCACACUGGAACUGAGACACGGUCCAGACUCCUACGGGAGGCAGCAGUGGGGAAUAUUGGACAAUGGGCGCAAGCCUGAUCCAGCCAUACCGCGUGGGUGAAGAAGGCCUUCGGGUUGUAAAGCCCUUUUGUUGGGAAAGAAAAGCAGCAGGUUAAUACCCCGCUGUUCCGACGGUACCCAAAGAAUAAGCACCGGCUAACUUCGUGC